UACGUAGGAGACGAGCGUUGUCCGGAAUCACUGGGCGUAAAGGGCGCGUAGGCGGGAUGGCAAGUCAGUCGUGAAAUCUCUCGGCUCAACCGAGAAACGUCGGCUGAUACUGCCGUUCUUGAGGGAUGCAGAGGAGACUGGAAUUCCCGGUGUAGCGGUGAAAUGUGUAGCGAUCGGGAGGAACACCGGUGGCGAAGGCGGGUCUCUGGGCCGAUACUGACGCUGAGGAGCGAAAGCGUGGGGAGCGAACAGG
rnacentral:rRNA from 1 species